rnacentral:rRNA from 1 species
UCCGUAGGGUGCAAGCGUUGUCCGGAAUUAUUGGGCGUAAAGAGCUUGUAGGCGGUUUGUCGCGUCUGCUGUGAAAUUUCGGGGCUCAACCCCGAACUUGCAGUGGGUACGGGCAGACUAGAGUGUGGUAGGGGAGACUGGAAUUCCUGGUGUAGCGGUGAAAUGCGCAGAUAUCAGGAGGAACACCGAUGGCGAAGGCAGGUCUCUGGGCCACUACUGACGCUGAGACGCGAAAGCGUGGGGAGCAAACAGG